rnacentral:snoRNA from 1 species
UGCAAAAAAUAAAUCCCCUUUUGCAAUCCAGAACUCAUUGUUCAGUAUGAAUUCUGAUACAUAUAAACAGGAAUACU